rnacentral:lncRNA from 1 species
GUCUCCAUUGUCCAAGCUGCGGCCUCCAUAAGCAGUCUGCUGCUUACCAGCGGCACCAUGGGGUCUGCUCUGACCGGGGUUGGUGUCGCGGCGUCCCUCCCUCUUGGAUCCCUCGCUUGCCUGUGUGCUACGACCGCCCUAGUGCUCUCGCUGAUCGUCAAGCGAAUCACCAAGAAGAAGAAGAAGCAUCAUGAUACUCUCCGCUUGGCCAGAUCCUACCAAUCCCAGCUCCCGGGUGAAGAUGGUGCCAUUGCCGUCUGCCUGAAGAAUUACUACGAUGAGAAAGAUCAGUUGCGCCGACCUUCUACCACUUUUAGUGAGGACCUUAAUGCGCAUGCGCCGUAAAAACACGC